GCUUCAGUGGCCUAGCGGUUAGAACGUCCGCCUCGGACGCGGAAGGUAGCGGGUUCGAAUCAUGGCAGAUUCA